UGUCAUUGUCAUGUCAUUAAUUGUCAUUAUUCCAAGUUGAAGGAGUGUUUCCCAUAUAAAUUAAACAAUAUUUCUAAUUAGAAGGGAUUUAAAUAAACCACAGUCCCAUCUUUUUUCUAACUACUAAAAGUUGAAAAACAGUGAUAAAAUGGCCUAUAAUCCUGGUUACGGCGGUCCACCACCCCAACAAGGAUAUGGAGCUUGAAA